rnacentral:rRNA from 1 species
AUGGUGAUAACGGAGUUCUUCAACUGGCCAAUUGUUUGGAUGUUGCACUUGCAUAUGCUCUGUGCGAUAUCCAGUAGUUUCUCCAGCGGUGAGGUGGCGGGUAUGCGCCGCCAUGAUCAUCCCAAGACGGCCUUCAUGAGCGGUUUUCGAUGUUAUAAGGCUCAGAUUGAGCUGGCAUGCUGUAUCUUGAGAAAUGCUUCUGUUCUUGAGCAGCUGAUAAUAGAACCAAGGAUUACAGACAAAGUAUGGGCGGGUGAUUGUUCCGAGUGGAAUACUGACCUUGGCGAAAUCUUACCAGGGGUCUGUGAGUGGGCACAGGACACCUCGGAGCGCUUUGGUAAGCAACGGAGGCUUCUUUGGCCCAGCAAGACGCAGGAUCUCUUCUGCACCAUCAUUAGCGAGUGUCGUCAUUGCCUGCAGAUUUUAGUAGAUCGGAGUGGGAUGCUAUUUCCCCUGGUGUUUGUUACCUUUUGCUGUAAUGAUGAAAAGCUGGGAAGAAGUAAAUCUUUAUUUUCGACAAAGGAUGGAUUUUAUAUUACUCAAAAGGGAAGAAGACUCAGCUCUGCCCAUUCCAUGGGAAAGCGCCGUUGA